rnacentral:rRNA from 1 species
UACGAAGGGGGCUAGCGUUGUUCGGAAUUACUGGGCGUAAAGCGCGUGUAGGCGGUCCGGUAAGUCCGCUGUGAAAGUCGGGGGCUCAACCCUCGGAUGCCGGUGGAUACUGUCGGGCUUGAGUACGGAAGAGGCGAGUGGAAUUCCUGGUGUAGCGGUGAAAUGCGCAGAUAUCAGGAGGAACACCAAUUGCGAAGGCAGCUCGCUGGGACGUUACUGACGCUGAGACGCGAAAGCGUGGGGAGCAAACAGG